rnacentral:pre_miRNA from 14 species
GCCCGCACGGGAAAAUGCAUUAUCCCGUGCGAGUGUCUUAACCCGCUCGCACGGAUAAUGUAUUUCCCCGUGCGGGC